UACGAAGGGGGCUAGCGUUGUUCGGAGUUACUGGGCGUAAAGGGCGCGUAGGCGGUCCUUCAAGUCAGGCGUGAAAGCCCCGGGCUCAACCUGGGAACCGCGCUUGAGACUGGCGGGCUAGAGUUCGGGAGAGGAUGGUGGAAUUCCCAGUGUAGAGGUGAAAUUCGUAGAUAUUGGGAAGAACACCGAUGGCGAAGGGCCAG
rnacentral:rRNA from 1 species